rnacentral:lncRNA from 1 species
GAGGAGGAAGAGCAACUCAUCUUCUUUAAUUUACGGACUGGUAAUUGGUGACGGAGAAGAUCUGGAAGACGACCACGACCACGACCACAAGAGAGAAACAACAAGGCCAAGGAAUAGGAAAGGUGGCAAAUUUAUGCUUCAGCCAUAUAACUGAUGGACUGAGAUUACCAUGUUUGUCUACAAAAGAGAUAACCCAACUUUUUUUAUUUUAGGAAAAAAAUGAAUAAAGAUGUCUCCAUCUCAAAAUCAAAGUUCCAUGUCUUCGCAGCAGAGUAUUGGUGGGAGGAGGAAGAAUAGCAACUGGGCAAACAAAACAGAGCUGAGCUAAGGAAACAAGGAAAGGGAACAGAUAGGGUUUUGGAUUUUGGAAAAGAUGAAUACGAAAACAACCUCUGUGGCUAGUGGCUAAUCUGCCUAAAUUGGCUUUCUUUUUUUAUUAUUAUUAUGUCGACACUUGAUUUUACAAACACAGACAGUCACUGCGAGGAUUACUGCACCACAAUCACAUGUUAGUUGGAUGUUUUGUUUUGUUAUCUUCCAUCAUCUUCACUUCUUCAUAUCUAACAAUUAUGCAUGCAACUUUUGUUUCUUCUUUUGAUUCGAAUGUUUGCUCGCCCAAACCUCGGCAGUUGAUGAACUUUAAAGUCCUCAUGUUCCCUUCCUUAUGGAAUCAUGGCUGC